rnacentral:rRNA from 1 species
UGCCUUUGGUGGUGGGGGAGUAGCCGGGCUAACGCCCGGGUAAUACCGCAUACGGUUGCCGAGGGGAGUCCCUUGGCAAAGAAACCUCCGGGGCACAGAGAGGGGCUCGCGGCCUAUCAGCUAGUUGGUGAGGUAAUGGCUCACCAAGGCGACGACGGGUAGCUGGUCUGAGAGGAUGGCCAGCCACAUUGGGACUGAGAUACGGCCCAG